rnacentral:tRNA from 1 species
GCGUCGGCUGGGCAUUGGCGAGCCUAACUGCCUGUAAAGCAGCCGCCUCCGGGAUGUGCAGGUUCAACUCCUGCCCGGCGCA